ACCCAGUCGGCGCGUGAAUGACUGAAUUGGACUGGACCGUCGUUCGUUCCGAUUCUUCAUUUCUCGAUUCUUCCACUCAAAUUUCCAGAGCAAAAUCCCAAAUUCGAAAUUUUCAGAAUCCACUUCACAAAACCCUGACGCCCCUGACAUUAUGCGCAAAAUGAGCUUGCUAGGCCUGUGCCGGAGGCGUUUGGUUUCGUCAUUGGCCGGAGAAUCGCCCAUUGAUCAACGGAGGCUUUGCUCGGUGACCGAGGCAUUGUAUCGAACACAUGGUUUGAGCAGCUCUUCUGGUUCCGUAGCUGGUUUCGCAACUUCAUUUGGGAAUCGUUAUUUCCACGCCUCAGGGUUUUGCUGCGCACCGGAACGAGACUACUACGAAACUCUUGGCGUUUCUCGGAGCGCAAGCAAAGAUGAGAUUAAGAAGGCUUUUCGCACGCUGGCCAAAAAAUACCAUCCUGAUGCAAACAGGGACAAUCCUUCUUAUAAGAGAAAAUUUCAAGAGAUAAGAGAAGCUUAUGAGACAUUGCAAGAUCCUGAAAAGAGGGCAGAAUAUGACAUGAAGCAAUCAAGUGGGUAUACUGCUGGUGAUGCAGAAGGUUUUAGAUAUAAUUAUCAAACACAUGGUUCUACUGCUGAUGCAGAGGGGUUUGGACAUGGUUUUAAACCUCAUUUCUCCAGUUCAUUUCAUAAAAUAUUCUCAGAGAUCUUUGAACAUGAAUUCGAUCAAGUUGCACCUGACAUUCAGGUGGAGCUGUCUCUCUCUUUUUCUGAAGCUGCUAGAGGAUGCACAAAGAAUCUGUCUGUCACUGCACAUGUUCCCUGCGAUUCUUGUGAUGGGCGUGGCUAUCCACUAAAGGCCAAGACAAAAGUGUGUCCUAUUUGCAGAGGUAUUGGGAGAGUUACAAUUCCUCCGUUCACAUCAACAUGCAGUACUUGUAAAGGGUCAGGCCAAAUAAUCAAGGAACAUUGUAUGUCAUGUGGAGGAUUAGGGAUAGUUGAAGGUGCAAGAGAGGUUGAAGUUACCAUCCCAGCAGGUGUGGAUUCUGGAGAUACAAUCCGCGUACCAGAGGCUGGGAAUAGUGGGCCACGGGGAAGUCAGCCAGGUUGGUUAUACAUUAAGUUAAAGGUUGCUGAAGAUCCUGUUUUUGCUAGAGAUGGUGCAGAUGUUUUUGUGGACUCUAAUAUCAGCUUUACUCAAGCUAUUCUUGGUGGUAAGGUUGAGGUGCCAACUUUAACUGGGAAGACAGAAGUAAAAAUACCAAAGGGGGUUCAGCCUGGAGAACACGUGGUACUAAGAGGCAAAGGACUACCGAAGCAUGGUUUCCUAGUUCACCAUGGAGACCAAUAUGUUCGCUUUCGAGUCCAGUUUCCGACUAAAAUAAACGAACGUCAACAUGCGAUAUUAGAAGAAUUUGCGAAGGAGGAGAUAAUUCAUGGAAACAGCAACUCCAACGAUAAAGACUGGUUUCAGCGGAUAAUUGAACGUGUUAUGGGUCAGAGAUUUGUGCUUGACUUCUCGAUAUUCUUAUUGAUCCUUUUUUUGCUGAGCAAAACCACGGGCUGACUGUUGGCGCAAGGCGAUUCGAUCAAGAUACAUAGGCCAAUUGUCAUUGCUGUAGAGAUUUGCUGACUUUUCCAUUCUUUGGAGUUCUGUUUAUCGAAGUUGACUUUGGACGUUUUGUCUUCUUUAUUGUAGGAAUGAAGGCCGGUGCAAGUUAAUUACAACUCCUUCAGGCUUUAUCAGGAGCAAAAUUUACAUGAUAAAAAUUACUUCUAAUAGAUAUAAAUGUUUGACCUUCAAAAAACUAUAAUAUUUUGCAUUAUUUUUUUGUUUUCUUGUUGCUGUGUUUUGAACUAACGAUACUAGGGUUUUCAGUUACUGUUACUGAGUAGAAUCCUGAUGUUUACAAUACCAGAGGAUGAAAUCGAUAAGAUGACUCCUAUAGCUUUUAACCUUGUACUCACGCCAAAUAAUUGGACUCCAUAAACUACUCAUGUGAUAGAUAUGGCUUUUACAAAGAGAUUCAAAUGUCAAGAGUCCUUUCUUAAGCGAUGUUAAUAAUAGAUUGUCAUCGACUCGUUGUCAUCA